rnacentral:pre_miRNA from 1 species
CCGCUCUGCUCAUAAGCAAGAGAAGAGACCGGAACUGCCGCUUUAACCGCGGUAGUUCCGGUCUCUUUUUCUGUGGAUGGCAAAUAUA